rnacentral:rRNA from 1 species
UACGAAGGGUGCAAACGUUGCUCGGAAUCAUUGGGCGUAAAGCGCACGUAGGCGGCUUGCCAAGUCGGACGUGAAAUCCCUCAGCUCAACUGAGGACGUGCAUCCGAAACUGGCGAGCUUGAGUACUGAAGAGGAUCGCGGAAUUCCCGGUGUAGUGGUGGAAUGCGUAGAGAUCCGGAGGAACACCAGCGGCGAAGGCGGCAUCCUGGACUGGUCCUGACGCUCAGGAGCGAAAGCGUGGGGAGCGAUCCGG